ensembl:ncRNA K06A5.9 ncRNA
ACAAACCAACUGAAAUGUUUGAUUGUAUAUUAAUUGUACCAUAAACAUACCUGAAAAUCCCGAUAACGCAGAAGUUGAGAUGUAAGAAAAUAUGAAUUCCAAUGGGAGAAGAAAUUGCAUCAACUGAAUAAAAGCACAACAAAG